rnacentral:rRNA from 1 species
AUUGAACGCUGGCGGCAGGCCUAACACAUGCAAGUCGAGCGCGCGGCGGAGGGGUGUGUAAUGUAUGGGGCUCUGCCCGAGAGAGGGGGAUCACUACUGGAAACGGUGGCUAAUCCCGCAUAAUAGCGUAUGAACACAUAUGGGUUUAGCUAGUAGGUGGGGUAAAGGCUCACCUAGGAGACGAUCUCUAGCUGGUCAGAGAGGAUGAUCAGCCACACUGGGACUGAGACACGGCCCAGACUCCUACGGGAGGCAGCAGUGGGGAAUAUUGCACAAUGGGCGCAAGCCUGAUGCAGCCAUGCCGCGUGUAUGAAGAAGGCCUUAGGGUUGUAAAGUACUUUCAGCGGGGAGGCGUUACCCGCAGAAGAAGCACCGGCUAACUCCGUGCCAGCAGCCGCGGUAAUAC